rnacentral:rRNA from 1 species
CCUACGGGUGGCAGCAGUGGGGAAUAUUGGGCAAUGGAGGAAACUCUGACCCAGCAACGCCGCGUGAAUGAUGAAGGUCUUCGGAUUGUAAAGUUCUUUUCUAAUGGAAGAAGAAAGUGACGGUACCUUAGGAAUAAGCCUCGGCUAACUACGUGCCAGCAGCCGCGGUAAUACGUAGGAGGCGAGCGUUAUCCGGAAUGACUGGGCGUAAAGGGUGCGUAGGUGGUUUGGCAAGUUAGUAGCGUAACUCCAAGGCUCAACCUUGGAACUACUACUAAAACUGUUGGACUUGAGUGCAGGAGGGGCAACCGGAAUUCCUAGUGUAGCGGUGGAAUGCAUAGAUAUCACGAGGAACCCCGAUUGCGAAGGCAGCCUGCCGGGGUGCGACUGACGCUGAGGCUCGAAGGUGCGGGUAUCAAACAGGAUUAGAUACCCCUGUAGUC